rfam:Anas platyrhynchos breed Pekin duck contig100286, whole genome shotgun sequence.
UUUUCAUAAGGCAUAGUUAUACUAAAAUUGGAAUGGUACAGGGAAGAUUAGCAUGGCUCCUGCGCAAGGAUGACACACAAAUUCGUGAAGCAUUCCAUAUUUUG